UUAGGAUUUUGGCUCGUCAAAUAUGUCCUAGUUGGUUUAGGAUUGCUUUAGGAAAAUUAGAGGUAUUCUUGUCCUAGAGGGAUUAGGAAAGAAUUUCAGUUUUCCUUAUUCAAUUCAGGUUUGGAUUUCUAGAAGCCUAUUUGGUUUUGGAUAAGUGUAAUUUCCUAAUCCACUUAGGAAUAGGAAUUCAAUCAGCCUUGGGACAUGUAAGCCAA